rnacentral:rRNA from 1 species
GGUAGAGGACAAGAUGUAAUGUUAAAUGCAUCGGAUCUCAUUAGAAUUUUACAGUUAAAUAUCAUUGGGUUAGAGUAGUAUUGGGAUGGAUCACUUCACUAAAAGUUCUAUCCUCUAUUG